CAGUAGCCGCGGUAAUACGGAGGGUGCAAGCGUUAAUCGGAAUUACUGGGCGUAAAGCGCACGCAGGCGGUCUGUUAAGUCAGAUGUGAAAUCCCCGGGCUCAACCCGGGAACUGCAUUUGAAACUGGCAGGCUUGAGUCUUGUAGAGGGGGGUAGAAUUCCAGGUGUAGCGGUGAAAUGCGUAGAGAUCUGGAGGAAUACCGGUGGCGAAGGCGGCCCCCUGGACAAAGACUGACGCUCAGGUGCGAAAGCGUGGGGAGCAAACAGGAUUAGAUACCCGGGUAGUCCCUGUCUCUUAUAC
rnacentral:rRNA from 1 species